rnacentral:rRNA from 1 species
GACGAACGCUGGCGGCGUGCCUAAUACAUGCAAGUUGAACGCUAAAGCUUUAACUGGUGCUUGCACCGACCUAAGUUUUUAGAGUAGCGGACGGGUGAGUAACACGUGGGUAACCUGCCCAUCAGAGGGGGAUAACACUUGGAAACAGGUGCUAAUACCGCAUAAUUCCUUUUACCGCAUGGUAAAAGGCUGAAAGGCGCUUCUGGUGUCACUGAUGGAUGGACCCGCGGUGCAUUAGCUAGUCGGUGGGGUAACGGCCUACCGAGGCGAUGAUGCAUAGCCGACCUGAGAGGGUGAUCGGCCACAUUGGGACUGAGACACGGCCCAAACUCCUACGGGAGGCAGCAGUAGGGAAUCUUCGGCAAUGGACGAAAGUCUGACCGAGCAACGCCGCGUGAGUGAAGAAGGUUUUCGGAUCGUAAAACUCUGUUGUUAGAGAAGAACAGGAGAAGUAGUAAAUGGCUUCUUUUUGAAGGUAUAUAAAAAGAAAGAAAAGGAGAAAGAAGGGAAAGAAGAAGAAGGAAGAA